rnacentral:tRNA from 1 species
GAGGGAUGGCAGAGCCCGGCCAAAUGCGUGAGACUCAAGAUCUCAUCCCUUAGGGGUUCGGGGGUUCAAAUCCCUCUCCCUCCA